rnacentral:rRNA from 1 species
CCUACGGGAGGCAGCAGUAGGGUAUAUUGGGCAGUGGCAGCAAGCCUUAUUCAGCCAUGGCGGGUGCAGGAAGAAAGCGCUAUGCGUUGUAAGAUGAUGUUGUCCGGGUAGUAUAUCCUUUACGGAGAAAGGGAAAGUCGCUGUUGCUGGAAUAUAGCCCGGCUUACUUCCGUCCAGCCACCGCGGUAAUUAGGAGGGUCCAACUUUGUUCGGAUUUCUUGGGUUUAAAGGGUCAGUAGGCGUCUUUUUAAGUCCGGGAUGAAAUCUCGUAGCUCAACUACGAAAGGCCCUUGGAUAUUGAGGGGCUAGAGUACAGGCGAGGCUGGUGGAACGGGUGGAGUAUCGGUGAAAUGCAUAGAUACCAUCCACACCACCGAUUGAGAAGGCAGCCAGGUAGGCCAAUAACGACGAUGAGGCAAGAAAGCGCGGGGGACCAACAGGAUUAAAUCCCCUGGUAGUCCCCCCCCUAAACGAUGCCAACUUGGGGUUGGCUCAAUAGAGUCAGUGGCCGAAGCUAACGCGUUAAGUAGCCGCCUGAGACCCCAAUGGC